rnacentral:miRNA from 1 species
UGGAAGAAGGUGAGACUUGCA